rnacentral:lncRNA from 1 species
CAAGUAGUAAACGGGCACUGUGCUUUGCGAUAGCCAAGCAUUUCUUAACUUGGUUCUGGCCUGUAGCCUGAUUCUUUGCCUCAGUCUGGAGCAAUGGAGGCAGGAGUUGCAGCCACUCUGCUUGGGAGGGCUUCACCCUCGCGGCUUCCCUCCCCCUGUCCCCCGAGGCAGUGGAUGGCUGUGACAGGGUCGAGUGUGUGAUCACCAGGUAAAUGAUGUCCUCAGGAUAGAACAAGAAAUCCAUGGCCUAGAUUGGAAGGGAGCUGAGGCUUUCUUGGCUGCUGUUUCUCAUGCUGGUCCUUCAUUUCUGGUUAAAUGUAUUGACCUGAGAAGUAAAUCUCAGCAUAAACUAUUCUGAUGACUUUUAGAAGAAUCAUGAGCAGCUUUGCCUAAUGUGGAGGAGACUAUUGGAAAACCUGACUUAGUAGCAUGGGAGCAGAGGGUGACACUAGAGCUUAGUGACUCUGAAGAUUUGUCU